GUCAACACUUCCUGUUUAAGGUUUUCGCCUCUAACAAAGAUGGUGCUUACGAUGCAGGUUCCCUAACAAUCAGGAUUCCGGUUGCCGUUUUUCUCCCCCGCCCCAAAGAUACGUGGUUGCAGACGGAGAAAUGGAGGCCAGAGACAAACAAGUGCUCCGCUCACUUCGCCUGGAGCUGGGUGCAGAGGUAUUGGUGGAAGGACUGGUUCUUCAGUACCUCUACCAGGAAGGAGUCUUGACGGAAAACCAUGUUCAAGAAAUCAAUGCUCAAACCACAGGCCUCCGGAAAACAAUGCUGCUGCUGGAUAUCCUACCUUCCAGGGGCCCUAAAGCAUUUGAUACAUUCCUAGAUUCCCUACAGGAAUUUCCCUGGGUCAGGGAGAAGCUGAAGAAGGCAAGGGAAGAAGCCAUGACCAGCCUGCCUGCAGGGUGUUGGCCACGAUCCUUAUGAUGGGGAGGAGAGGAAUCAUUAGUUUUCUGCUCUGUCCCACUGAACAACUUAGAGAUGACCUAAGGCCUCAUUACCUGUGUGGAAUAACUGGGAACUGGAAGAGAUGAGGAAACUGAGGCCAAAGGAGGCUGUGACUUGCCUGGCUUCACAGCUUGCCUGCAGAUUCUGAACCGCCAUCUUCCUCUCUCUGGCAUCACCCCAGACCCUGUCCUCUUUCCUCUAUACCAUUGGUUCUCAACCAAGGGUGAUUUUGCCUUCCAGGGGACAUAUGACAAUGUCUGGAGGCGUUUUUGGUUGUCACAACUCUAUGUAUGUGUGUGGGUGAGCAAGGGAUGGUGGGUAAUGUUGGCAUCUAGUGAGUAGAUACAGGGACGCUGCUAAACCUACAAUGCUCAGAUGGCCCCUCACAAAGGAGUAUGUUGUCCAAUGUGUCAAUAGUGCAGAGGUUGAAAAGCACUGGUCUGUACACAGCUCAGCUGUCCAGGGCAGCUGCAACCUCUGGGAGUUGCCAAGAGGUUCUCUGCCCAGCAAUAGGCUUGGCCUCUCUCCUGUGGCUGCCACAAGAGUUAAAGCCACUGUCUAGAAUGCCCUUUGGCAGUGGCCAAGUGUCCCCUGAGGAGCUGACUGCAGGACACACUGUGCAUCAGCCGGACCUGAUGUGUUUUAUAAUUUAUAGUCACAGGGCACCUGUCUUCAUUUAGCAGCAGGCCUGCUGGCAGCCUCCCUGCCAGGGAGGAAGCAAGUUCCACAGAGGCCCGCAGCCCCCACCAGCUGACAGCUCAUGGUAUUUGGGGACAGCUUUUACUCAGAGGCACCUGGGAAUAGGCCGGGGCCGAGAUGGCGCUGGGUGCUCAGUCUCCCCUUCAGACCCGUCCGUCAGCAGCGGUCCCU